GACGAACGCUGGCGGCGUGCUUAACACAUGCAAGUCGAACGAAAAGAGGGAAAGAGCUUCUCUUUCCGGAAUUGAGUGGCAAACGGGUGAGUAACACGUAAACAACCUGCCUUCAGGAUGGGGACAACAGACGGAAACGACUGCUAAUACCGAAUAAGUUCCAAGAGCCGCAUGGCCCAUGGAAGAAAAGGUGGCCUCUACCUGUAAGCUAUCGCCUGAAGAGGGGUUUGCGUCUGAUUAGCUGGUUGGAGGGGUAACGGCCCACCAAGGCGACGAUCAGUAGCCGGUCUGAGAGGAUGAACGGCCACACUGGAACUGAGACACGGUCCAGACUCCUACGGGAGGCAGCAGUGGGGAAUCUUCCGCAAUGGGCGAAAGCCUGACGGAGCAACGCCGCGUGAGUGAUGACGGCCUUCGGGUUGUAAAACUCUGUGAUCCGGGACGAAAAGGCAGAGUGCGAAGAACAAACUGCAUUGACGGUACCGGAAAAGCAAGCCACGGCUAACUACGUG
rnacentral:rRNA from 1 species